GUUGUAUGGUCAAGUAAUGAAGCGCACAUGGUGGAUGCCUUGGCAGUCAGAGGCGAUGAAAGACGUGACAGCCUGCGAUAAGCUUCGGGGAGGCGGCAAUAUCCUGUGAUCCGGAGAUUUCUGAAUGGGGAAACCCACUUACCAUAAGGUAGGUAUCUUGUACUUGUACAAGAAGCGAACGAGGGGAAGUGAAACAUCUCAGUACCCUUAGGAAUAGACAUCAAUUGAGAUUCCCCUAGUAGCGGCGAGCGAACGGGGAGAAGCCGAUUAAUUCUAAUGUAGAAGAACAGCGUGGGAAAGCUGACCGUAGUAGGUGAUAGUCCUGUAUUCGAAACAUUAGAGUUAACAUAUUAAGUAGAGCGGGGCACGAGAAAUCCUGUUUGAAGAUGGGGGGACCAUCCUCCAAGGCUAAAUACUCCUGACUGACCGAUAGUGAACCAGUACCGUGAGGGAAAGGCGAAAAGAACCCCUGUGAGGGGAGUGAAAUAGAACCUGAAACCGUGUGCGUACAAGCAGUGGGAGCCUUAAUUUAUUAGGGUGACCGCGUACCUUUUGUAUAAUGGGUCAGCGACUUAUGUUCUGUAGCAAGGUUAACCGUUUAGGGGAGCCGUAGGGAAACCGAGUCUUAAUAGGGCGAAUUAGUUGCAGGGCAUAGACCCGAAACCGAGUGAUCUAUCCAUGAGCAGGUUGAAAGUGCCGUAACAGGCACCGGAGGACCGAACCCACUGUCGUUGAAAAGCCAGGGGAUGACUUGUGGAUAGGGGUGAAAGGCUAAUCAAACUCGGUGAUAGCUGGUUCUCCCCGAAAGCUAUUUAGGUAGCGCCUCGGACGAACACCAUUGGGGGUAGAGCACUGUUUCGGCUAGGGGGUCAUACCGACUUACCAAACCGAUGCAAACUCCGAAUACCGAUGAGUGAUAUCCGGGAGACACACAGUGGGUGCUAACGUCCAUUGUGGAGAGGGAAACAACCCAGACCGCCAGCUAAGGCCCCAAAUUCCUAGUUAAGUGGGAAACGAGGUGGGAAGGCAUAGACAGCUAGGAGGUUGGCUUAGAAGCAGCCAUCCUUUAAAGAAAGCGUAAUAGCUCACUAGUCGAGUCGGCCCGCGCGGAAGAUGUAACGGGGCUCAAACUAGGAGCCGAAGCUGCGGAUUUGAAUUUGUUUUCAAGUGGUAGGGGAGCGUUGUGUAAGCCUGUGAAGGUGUGUUGUAAAGCAUGCUGGAGGUAUCACAAGAGCGAAUGCUGACGUGAGUAACGAUAAUGCGAGUGAAAAGCUCGCACGCCGGAAGAUCAAGGGUUCCAGUCCAACGUUAAUCGGGGCUGGGUGAGUCGACCCCUAAGGCGAGGCCGAAAGGCGUAGUCGAUGGGAAAUCGGUUAAUAUUCCGAUACUUGUUUAUAAUGCGAUGGAGGGACGGAGUAGGUUAUGUCAGCCUGGCGUUGGUUGUCCAGGUGAAAGGAUGUAGGCUUACAGUUUAGGCAAAUCCGGACUGUAAUACGGCUGAGAUCUGAUAGCAAGCUGUACUUGUACAGCGAAGUGGCAAAUACCAUGCUUCCAGGAAAAGCUUCUAAGCAAUAGUUAUAAACGAAUCGUACCCUAAACCGACACAGGUGAUCAGGUAGAGAAUACCAAGGCGCUUGAGAGAACUCUGCUGAAGGAACUAGGCAAAAUGGUACCGUAACUUCGGGAGAAGGUACGCUGCCGAUGGUGAUAGGACUUGCUCCUUGAGCUGUUGGCAGUCGCAGAUACCAGGCUGCUGCAACUGUUUAUUAAAAACACAGCACUCUGCAAACACGAAAGUGGACGUAUAGGGUGUGAUGUCUGCCCGGUGCUGGAAGGUUAAUUGAUGGGGUUAGCGUAAGCGAAGCUCUUGAUCGAAGCCCCAGUAAACGGCGGCCGUAACUAUAACGGUCCUAAGGUAGCGAAAUUCCUUGUCGGGUAAGUUCCGACCUGCACGAAUGACAUAAUGAUGGCAGCGCUGUCUCCAGCAGAGACUCAGUGAAAUCGAAAUCGCAGUGAAGAUGCUGUGUACCCGCGGCUAGACGGAAAGACCCCGUGAACCUUUACUACAGCUUUACAUUGAACUUUGACCUGACUUGUGCAGGAUAGGUGGGAGGCUUUGAAGCCGAGACGCUAGUCUUGGUGGAGCCAAUCUUGAAAUACCACCCUGGUCAUGUCGGGGUUCUAACUCAGGUAUAACAAUACCGAGGACAAUGUAUGGUGGGUAGUUUGACUGGGGCGGUCUCCUCCUAAAGAGUAACGGAGGAGUACGAAGGUGCGCUCAGAACGGUCGGAAAUCGUUCAUAGAGUAUAAAGGCAAAAGCGCGCUUAACUGCGAGACCCACAAGUCGAGCAGGUACGAAAGUAGGUCUUAGUGAUCCGGUGGUUCUGUAUGGAAGGGCCAUCGCUCAACGGAUAAAAGGUACUCUGGGGAUAACAGGCUGAUACCGCCCAAGAGUUCAUAUCGACGGCGGUGUUUGGCACCUCGAUGUCGGCUCAUCUCAUCCUAGGGCUGAAGCAGGUCCUAAGGGUAUGGCUGUUCGCCAUUUAAAGAGGUACGCGAGCUGGGUUUAGAACGUCGUGAGACAGUUCGGUCCCUAUCUACCGUGGGCGUUGGAAAUUUGAGAGGAUCUGCUCCUAGUACGAGAGGACCAGAGUGGACGAACCUCUGGUGUUCGGGUUGUCACGCCAGUGGCAUUGCCCGGUAGCUACGUUCGGAUGGGAUAACCGCUGAAAGCAUCUAAGCGGGAAGCCCACCUCAAGAUUAGAUUUCCCUAAAGAGCCGUUGAAGACUACGACGUUGAUAGGCAGGGUGUGGAAGCACAGCGAUGUGUGUAGCUAACCUGUACUAAUUGCUCGUUUGGCUUGACCAUACAACACCCAAG
rnacentral:rRNA from 1 species